rnacentral:rRNA from 1 species
GGGCCGGGCGGGUGCUAUACAUGCAAGUCGAGCGGACAGAAGGGAGCUUGCUCCCGGAUGUUAGCGGCGGACGGGUGAGUAACACGUGGGUAACCUGCCUGUAAGACUGGGAUAACUCCGGGAAACCGGAGCUAAUACCGGAUAGUUCCUUGAACCGCAUGGUUCAAGGAUGAAAGACGGUUUCGGCUGUCACUUACAGAUGGACCCGCGGCGCAUUAGCUAGUUGGUGAGGUAACGGCUCACCAAGGCGACGAUGCGUAGCCGACCUGAGAGGGUGAUCGGCCACACUGGGACUGAGACACGGCCCAGACUCCUACGGGAGGCAGCAGUAGGGAAUCUUCCGCAAUGGACGAAAGUCUGACGGAGCAACGCCGCGUGAGUGAUGAAGGUUUUCGGAUCGUAAAGCUCUGUUGUUAGGGAAGAACAAGUGCAAGAGUAACUGCUUGCACCUUGACGGUACCUAACCAGAAAGCCACGGCUAACUACGUGCCAGCAGCCGCGGUAAUACGUAGGUGGCAAGCGUUGUCCGGAAUUAUUGGGCGUAAAGGGCUCGCAGGCGGUUUCUUAAGUCUGAUGUGAAAGCCCCCGGCUCAACCGGGGAGGGUCAUUGGAAACUGGGAAACUUGAGUGCAGAAGAGGAGAGUGGAAUUCCACGUGUAGCGGUGAAAUGCGUAGAGAUGUGGAGGAACACCAGUGGCGAAGGCGACUCUCUGGUCUGUAACUGACGCUGAGGAGCGAAAGCGUGGGGAGCGAACAGGAUUAGAUACCCUGGUAGUCCACGCCGUAAACGAUGAGUGCUAAGUGUUAGGGGGUUUCCGCCCCUUAGUGCUGCAGCUAACGCAUUAAGCACUCCGCCUGGGGAGUACGGUCGCAAGACUGAAACUCAAAGGAAUUGACGGGGGCCCGCACAAGCGGUGGAGCAUGUGGUUUAAUUCGAAGCAACGCGAAGAACCCUUACCAGUCUUGACAUCCUCUGACAACCCUAGAGAUAGGGCUUUCCCUUCGGGGACAGAGUGACAGGUGGUGCAUGGGUUGUC